GACGAACGCUGGCGGCGUGCCUAAUACAUGCAAGUAGAACGCAGUUGCGAACGGGGGAGGAACGCGUAGGUAACUGCCGCAACGCGGGGGACAACUAUUGGAAACGAUUGCUAAUACCGCAUACUGUGAGAUUGACCUGCGUUGUAUUAGCUAGUUGGUGAGGUAAAUGCUCACCAAGGCGACGAUACAUAGCCGACCUGAGAGGGGGGUCGGCCACACUGGGAAUGAGACACGGCCCCGGUUCCUACGGGAGGCAGCAGUAGGGAAUUUUCGGCAAUUGACGGAAGUUUUGACGGGCAAAGCCGCGGGAGUGAAGAAGGUUUUCGGAUCGUAAAGCCCUUUUGUUUGAGAAGCGGUAACUAACCAGAAAGGGACGGCUAACUACGUGCCAGCAGCCGCGGUAAUAC
rnacentral:rRNA from 1 species